GCCUUUUCACACUACGUAGAAACAACAUGCUGGGGUAGGAACACCUGCUGCGGUUGCCUAAAACCCUAAAAAGAUACCUUCAUUCCCACACAACAGGAAUCGGUCUAGAGGAUACAAUACCCACAUUCCCAAAAGGUGAGAGAUUGUGGGACUUGGAAAUGUUCUGUGGCUCUUGUGUCAGAAUCCUUGGAAGAGGUGACAUAGGUAAAGAAUUCUGGACUCCACCCUCCAUGAGUCAAGGUACACCCCUGCUGUGGUUUAAAUGUGACUGCCCUCCCAGAGAUGGAGAUAAUUUGGUUCCGGGAACUGGUCUAAGGUGAGCUGCAGAAAGGGAUGAACUCACACAUCAUCAUUCC